AUGAGCCCUUCGGGCAUGAGAAGGGCUCAUGCCCGAAACGUCGAUGCUCCGAGUUACUGACCAUAUCAAAUUGAUGGCUAAGCAUACCUUAAAUUCAUUAAGGAAGUAUUCAAUGAACUUACUGUCCCUAAGAAUAAAGGGAUCCAUUCGCCAGUGCCGAGAGCCUGCAACAUUGCCCUCAAACUCGGUCUCUAAAUAAACUGCUGCAUGAUCCGAAAUAGUAACAUUUCCAAUUAUACAGGACAUUAUGGAAUCCAAAGGUAAUACAGGGGUUAGGAAAAAUCAAUCCUGAUAUGACACUUGCACUGAUUAGAAAAGAACAUAAUGUCCCUGCCCAUGGGGCGGAGACACCUCCAGACAUCCACCAAUCCCAAUUCUGCACACAAGUCCAUUAAUUGUGAAGAACAUGUUAAGGGGCCUUUACGCAUUCUAUCCACCGCGGGAUGCAUGAGGCAAUUAAAGUCUCCCCCUAUAAUAAUCUGCUGUGGUGCAAGAGCCAUCAAAAACUUAAGGGGGUGCGCUGGGGGACAAGAAACAUUCAACAUACCAUACUCUUCUCCAUGUACGGAGGCCCUAAGAAACAUAAGCUACCUAUAAUCAUCUUUAAUCUGUUCUAGCAACUUAAAUGAAAGGUUCUUCCUCAUUAGUAUGGCCAAUCCCCUGCUCCUCGCAUUGAAGGAAGAAAAGUACACCUGAUCAAAUCCACCCUGUUGCAAUUUCAAAUGAUCUUUAUCAUUGAGAUGAGUCUCCUAUAAAAGGGUGAUGUCCACCCUCUCAUUUCUAAGAGUAGAAAGCACUUUUUCCUUCUAACUGGUGAAUGGAUCCCUCUGACAUUCUAAGUACGCCAUUUGAGGACACAGUUACAAUUAGCCAUGACAUCAUUUAAUCUCCAAAAAGGAAGAAUUCAACUUAUCAACUGCUGACCAUAGACAAAAAAAAGUUCACACCACCUAAAAAAUACACAAGCUAAAACUACUACAUCUAACACCCUAAUAACUACAUAUACAAAAAAAAAGACUAAACCAAAUACAAAACACUUAACAAGGGACUCUACCUUCUCCCCACAGGGGGAACUUACAUAGCCCAAAAACACCUUUAUAUCUCCUUUCAGCUUGACUACAUCCCAGAGUCAGGCCAAAAAAAGGAGAAAGAAUAAAAAAAACUUAAUAAGGAAACUAAAAGUAGACACUUUACCCAUCCCUAAAUAUACAUUAUCACUCAUUAAUAUCAGGGGAAAAAAAGGUGUUCAGCAAAAUCUUCUUUAAAAAAAAGGGAUAGAAGGAAAAAAGAAACACUUAAUGUGCACAUCCUUUAAGUUAUCUGACCUAUUUUAGAGUGCCCAAAAUCCUUUUUCACUUUUUCUGAAGAGUCAAAAGAAUACAGAGACCGAUCAUAUGGAAAGCGAAGCACAGCCGGGUACCUGAGGGAAUACUGAUUACCAAGGCCUGUCAGCCUUUUCUUGGCUUCAUUAAAAGGUUUUCCUUUUACAAUUUUACAACUGCAGAGAGGUCCUGAAGAACAUAAUCUUGGAACCUUGGUAAGUUAAAACCUGGGAAUCCUGUCACUUUAUUCUGGAGGUCUCCAUAACUUUCACUUUGUCCCUGAGCUGUGUAGUUGCAUUAGGACCACGUGAGGGCGUCCGUCCGAGCAAGGCCUGCGCAUCGCGACUCGAUGGGCCCUUUCAACUUUCACCUGGCCCGACACAUCCUCCAGGCCCAGGAAUCACGGCAGCCAGGUUUCAAAGAAGCUUACUGGCUGACUGCCUUCUACACCGUCUGGCAGCCCCACAACAUGAAUGUUCUUCUGGCUACCUGUUUUCAAGGUCAUCAAUUUGCUCCUGUAAGUUUCGCAAGCUCCGUAGCCAGGGCCUGGUGAGUGAACGACUCCAAUAGGCUAACUGCGGCCGCGGAAGUGUCCUGCUGCUCAGCACAAGGAUUUGGACUGAACUCAACUCCAGAUUCCACUACCUUAAAAUUAUGACCCCUCGUGACAGCCAUUUCUGCCCUGGGGAAAAGUCUCUGCCUCUCAUUA